GCCAGGGAAUUACGAGCCCAAGCUUAAAACCCAAAGGACUUGACGGUGCCCCAUCCACCUAGAGGAGCCUGUUCUAUAAUCGAUUCUCCCCGAUCUACCUCACCCCUUCUUGAACCCCAGUCUGUAUACCUCCGUCGCAAGCUUACCAUAUGAACGUCCACUUAGUGAGCCUAAAGGUUUUAUGCCCCCCUACGUCAGGUCAAGGUGCAGCCCACGAAGCGGAAAGAAAUGGGCUACAAUCUCUACCCUAGAACAAACGGAAGACUUCAUGAAACACAGUCAUUAAGGCGGAUCUAGUAGUAAAAAGAAAAUAGAGAGUUCUUUUUAAUAAGGCGCUGGGACGCGUACACACCGCCCGUCACCCUCUUCAAAUAUCAAUUAAUGUUAUUAACUCUACACAUCCUAACAGAAGAGGCAAGUCGUAACACGGUAAGCGUACUGGAAAGUGCGCUUGGAACAAAAUGUAGCUUAACAAAAGCAUCUUGCUUACACCAAGAACACGUCUGUGAAAUUCUGACCAUUUUGAGCUAAAAGCCUAGCCCUACUAACCUUUAAUAAACCACUUUUCCACAUAUGAACAAACAAAACAUUUUCUUAACCCAGUAGAGGCGAUUAAAAAGUUUACAGGCG
rnacentral:rRNA from 1 species